GUUGGAGGCGGGGCUCUACUCGACUGAACCGUGCGACUCCAGGGCACCUGCGCAGAAAGGUGCGUUAAGAUGGCGGCUGCUGGAGUCGACCGCUGCGCGGCGAUGAAAUUCCAGGGAAUUAUAACUGGAACUACUCUGUUAUGUCUCUAUUUGAAAGGCAAAAUGAAGAUGGACAAAAUGAAGGUAGUCUGUAUGUCAUUAUUAUUGCCUCCAAAACAUAUGCACAUGCACACACAUGUAUGUGUGCACUCACACAUAUGACAGAUAAACAACCUGGACAAACUACCAGUCAAGCAAACUGACCAGGAAAGGAAAUAUACUUUGCAGAAAUAAAUAUUUCAUACUUAUAGUUACA
rnacentral:lncRNA from 1 species